rnacentral:rRNA from 1 species
CCUACGGGGGGCAGCAGUGAGGAAUAUUGGUCAAUGGGCGCAGGCCUGAACCAGCCAAGUAGCGUGAAGGAUGACUGCCCUAUGGGUUGUAAACUUCUUUUAUAAAGGAAUAAAGUCGGGUAUGCAUACCCGUUUGCAUGUACUUUAUGAAUAAGGAUCGGCUAACUCCGUGCCAGCAGCCGCGGUAAUACGGAGGAUCCGAGCGUUAUCCGGAUUUAUUGGGUUUAAAGGGAGCGUAGGCCGGAGAUUAAGCGUGUUGUGAAAUGUAGACGCUCAACGUCUGCACUGCAGCGCGAACUGGUUUCCUUGAGUACGCACAAAGUGGGCGGAAUUCGUGGUGUAGCGGUGAAAUGCUUAGAUAUCACGAAGAACUCCGAUUGCGAAGGCAGCCUGCUAAGCUGCAACUGACAUUGAGGCUCGAAAG